AGCUAAAUCGAACGAAUCCAAAUCCCGAACAAAGUUCGUCAAUCCCCCUUUCCUCUGUCCUGCACCACUCAUGUCUGCUGGAGGUUGCCGCCGCUAGGGUUAACUGAAAAAAUUGGGCGGAUCCCCCCCCCCCCCCCCCUCUCCUGCACCUCUUCCUCUUUGCUUUCGGCGUUGAAGCACGAGCGCCCAAAGAUCCAAAUCAUGAUGUCCGGCGGCGGCUCCCUGCCAUUGCGCCUCUGCAGCGACGUGGGGUUGUACCUCUGUGGAUCGACGAUAUGGCCGCAUAGGAGAGGACCAUCGGCCUUUACAGCUCAAGGAUCCAAGGCCUAUUUGUAGCCGGAUAGCAGUCCUGCAGCAGUGAAGCGAUACAAACUUUGACAUGCCCCAUGCCUGAAUUUCGAGAAACCUCAAAUGGACAAUGCAAUAGAAUGUGUAACGUUUAAGAUAUAUGAAUCUCUGCUGCUUUUCAGGUAGCAGUGUUGCUCUGCUGUAGAUUGUAUAUGAUGGCAUGUGUCGUCCUCAUUUAUACAUUUGUUUGGUCGAGCUUCUGUUUCAAACCGUGCAUAACACCUGAGAAAAAUUGACAAGUUGUGCUCUUGUAUCAGUUGUUGUAA